rnacentral:lncRNA from 1 species
UUAUUUUAGAAUUUACUGUUUUAGACACGUGGCAUGUGGUAUCCCACUAAUUUGCUGUUUUAGACACGUGGCUUGUGAUAUCCCACUAAUUAGCUAUUUUAAACAUGUGACAAGUGGUAUGACACUGUAUUGAUGUAUGUAAAAUGUAUAGAGUCUUUCAGUUAUCAGAUAAU